rnacentral:rRNA from 1 species
GAUGAACGCUGGCGGCGUGCCUAAUACAUGCAAGUCGAGCGAACAGACGAGGAGCUUGCUCCUCUGACGUUAGCGGCGGACGGGUGAGUAACACGUGGAUAACCUACCUAUAAGACUGGGAUAACUUCGGGAAACCGGAGCUAAUACCGGAUAAUAUAUUGAACCGCAUGGUUCAAUAGUGAAAGACGGUUUUGCUGUCACUUAUAGAUGGAUCCGCGCCGCAUUAGCUAGUUGGUAAGGUAACGGCUUACCAAGGCAACGAUGCGUAGCCGACCUGAGAGGGUGAUCGGCCACACUGAAACUGAGAAACGGUCCAGACUCCUACGGGAGGCAGCAGUAGGGAAUCUUCCGCAAUGGGCGAAAGCCUGACGGAGAAACGCGGCGUGAGUGAUGAAGGUCUUCGGAUCGUAAAACUCUGUUAUUAGGGAAGAACAAAUGUGUAAGUAACUAUGCACGUCUGGACGGUACCUAACAAGAAAGCCACGGCUAACUACGU